rnacentral:rRNA from 1 species
UACGUAGGUUGCAAGCGUUGUCCGGAUUUACUGGGUGUAAAGGGCGUGUAGGCGGAGGCGCAAGUUGGGAGUGAAAUCUAUGGGCUCAACCCAUAAACUGCUCUCAAAACUGUGCCCCUUGAGUAUCGGAGAGGCAAGCGGAAUUCCUAGUGUAGCGGUGAAAUGCGUAGAUAUUAGGAGGAACACCAGUGGCGAAGGCGGCUUGCUGGACGACAACUGACGCUGAGGCGCGAAAGCGUGGGGAGCAA